rnacentral:rRNA from 1 species
GUAUAAGUCCGGGGAGAGUUGUAAUAACGAGAACCGGAUGAAAGCCUGAUGAGCCGCCCGUUAGGGCGGUUUGGCCGAGCCCUGGAGCCCGUGAAAAGGGAACUGGCAAGGAUCCCUGGCGACCGUACCUAGAACCGACACAGGUGCCCCUAGGUGAGUAGCCUAAGGCGCGUCGGGAGAAUCCAGCCGAGGGAAGUCGGCAAAUUGGCCCCGUAACUUCGGGAGAAGGGGUGCCAGCGGCCUCCUCAAGGGGCUGCUGGUCGCAGUGACUAGGGGGGUCCGACUGUUUAAUAAAAACAUAGGUCUUAGCUAGCCCGAAAGGGUGUGUACUAAGGCCGACGCCUGCCCAGUGCUGGUACGUGAAACCCGGGUACAACCGGGCGAAGCGCCAGUAAACGGCGGGGGUAACUAUAACCCUCUUAAGGUAGCGAAAUUCCUUGUCGGGUAAGUUCCGACCUGCAUGAAUGGCGUAACGAGACCCCCACUGUCCCCGGCUGGAACCCGGUGAACCUACCUUUCCGGUGCAAAGGCCGGAGACCUCCAGUGGGAAGCGAAGACCCCGUGGAGCUUUACUGCAGCCUGCCGUUGGGGCAUGGUCGUGGGUGUACAGCGUAGGUGGGAGCCGUCGAAGCCUCCUCGCCAGGGGAGGUGGAGGCGCCCAUGGGACACCACCCACCCAUGGCCAUGUCCCUUACCCCGAGAGGGGGACACCGGUAGGUGGGCAGUUUGGCUGGGGCGGCACCCUCCUGAAAAGGCAUCAGGAGGGCCCAAAGGUCGGCUCAGGCGGGUCAGAACUCCGCCGUUGAGUGCAAGGGCAAAAGCCGGCCUGACGUGACCCCGCAUAAUAAGGGGUCACGAGCCGAAAGGCGGGCCUAGCGAACCCCUGUGCCUCACCGAUGGGGGCCAGGGAUGACAGAAAAGCUACCCCGGGGAUAACAGAGUUGUCGCGGGCGAGAGCCCAUAUCGACCCCGCGGCUUGCUACAUCGAUGUCGGUUUUUCCCAUCCUGGGUCUGCAGCAGGACCCAAGGGUGGGGCUGUUCGCCCAUUAAAGGGGAUCAUGAGCUGGGUUUAAACCGUCGUGAGACAGGUUGGUUGCUAUCUGCUGGAGGUGUGGGCUGCCUGAGGGGAAGGUGGUUCUAGUACGAGAGGAACGAACCACCGGCGCCUCUAGUGUAUCGGCUGUCCGACAGGGCAUGCCGAGCAGCCACGCGCCAAGGGUUAAGGGCUGAAAGCAUCUAAGCCCGAAACCCACCCCGAAAAUAGGCAGCCAUUCCCUUCGGGGACGAGGGCACCCCUAGAAGAGGGGGUUGAUAGGCUAGGGAUGUAAGCACCGAGGGGGUCUUCCCCCGAGGUGUUAAGUCCGCUAGUACUAAGUGCCCGAGGGAUAUACU